rnacentral:rRNA from 1 species
UACGUAGGGUGCGAGCGUUAAUCGGAAUUACUGGGCGUAAAGCGUGCGCAGGCGGUGAUGUAAGACAGGUGUGAAAUCCCCGGGCUUAACCUGGGAACUGCAUUUGUGACUGCAUCGCUGGAGUGCGGCAGAGGGGGAUGGAAUUCCGCGUGUAGCAGUGAAAUGCGUAGAUAUGCGGAGGAACACCGAUGGCGAAGGCAAUCCCCUGGGCCUGCACUGACGCUCAUGCACGAAAGCGUGGGGAGCAACAGGAU